rnacentral:misc_RNA from 1 species
GAUGAAGAACGCAGCGAAAUGCGAUAAGUAAUGUGAAUUGCAGAAUUCAGUGAAUCAUCGAAUCUUUGAACGCACAUUGCGCCCGCCAGUAUUCUGGCGGGCAUGCCUGUUCGAGCGUCAUUACAACCCUCAGGCCCCCGGGCCUGGCGUUGGGGAUCGGCGGAGCCCCCCGUGGGCACACGCCGUCCCCCAAAUGCAGUGACGGUCCCGCCGCAGCUUCCAUCGCGUAGUAGCUAACACCUCGCGACUGGAGAGCGGCGCGGCCACGCCGUAAAACACCCAACUCUUCUGAAGUUGACCUCGAAUCAGGUAGGAAUACCCGCUGAACUUAAGCAUAUCAAUAAGCGGAGGA